AGUAAUGUCUGGGAAACUGCCUGAUGGAGGGGGAUAACUGCUGGAAACGGUAGCUAAUACCGCAUAACGUCGCAAGACCAAAGAGGGGGACCUUCGGGCCUCUCGCCAUCGGAUGUGCCCAGAUGGGAUUAGCUAGUAGGUGGGGUAAUGGCUCACCUAGGCGACGAUCCCUAGCUGGUCUGAGAGGAUGACCAGCCACACUGGAACUGAGACACGGUCCAG
rnacentral:rRNA from 1 species